rnacentral:misc_RNA from 1 species
AAAGUCGUAACAAGGUUUCCGUAGGUGAACCUGCGGAAGGAUCAUUAUUGAAUUUUAAAGGAUGUGCUGGCUGCCCUCACAGGUUUGCAUGUGCACUCCCAAAAUCUCCAUCCUCUACACCAUUGUGCACACCCAGUAGGCAAAACAAUGUGAGUCGACUUUUGUGUGAGUCGACUUCAGAGCAAUAGCAAUCUGUGCACAUUGUCUGUCUAUGUUUUUAUACCAAACCCCAAUAAUAUGUCAGAAUGAUGUAUUGCAGUAAGCUUUCACAAGCUGAAUCUAAUACAACUUUCAACAAUGGAUCUCUUGGUUCUC